GACUAAACUUCCAGCCUUGUUGAUCUAAUGGGAUCUUGGGCAGUUGGGUGCAGAAGAUGUCACACAAACAAUGUUCUGAUCGCUCUCUGAGAUCCGACUGAACGGCCAAGACGAGGUUGACUGAGGUGAGAAUUCAGAGAAUUGCAAAAUGGCUUUUGCUGGUUCAGUGAUGUCUUUAACAAAUGUCUGACCUGAACUUGUAAUGUGGACAACAUUGUUGCUGAGUAACCUGCAAACUUGAAGCUUAAUAGACCAAUCACUGACUUGUAAUAAGGGUAUUUCUGUCUCUUCUCCAGGAAAAGGCUGCAUCUCUUGGGCUGACCUUGAAAGCAGAUGUAAUGUCCUCUGGCCCUCAGACAGCCUGAUGUUUUACUCUAAAGAUUCUGUGGUAUUAUGGCGACCGGAGUUUGACCUGCAGACAAUUUAAUAUCUCUUGGCAAAUGUGUUUUCAACAUUGUUGCAAUAAAAUACUCAAAACGAAA